AUGGUUAAGCGCAGUAGGAAAGAUGCAUACGGUGAAGGAUUUUGCCAGAAACUCACAUUGUGGCCUGGUCUCAUUGAGGGAGCCUGGAUCAACAAAAUCAAGAUGACCGCCAACUUCUCUAUGACACACAUUUGUCAAUUUGUUGAACUUUGGCUUCUGAUCUCGGAAUUCUCACUUGAGGAGCACGCGGAGGAUGAGAUUACUUGGAAGCAUGCCAAUGAUGGUCAAUACUCCACGGUGACGGCUUACUCCGCGCAAUUUCUUGGAAUGGUCCACUCUCCUAUGGAUCACACGGUCUGGAAGGUUUGGGCACCAUCCAAGGUGAAAUUCUUUGCUUGGCUGGCCAUACAAGAUCGAAUUUGGACUGCCGAUAGGUUGGCCCGUCGUGGAUGGCCAAACUGUCAACUCUGUCCGCUAUGCAAAAGAGAACAAGAAUCUGGGCUACACCUUUUCGUCAAAUGUCGAUUCACCCUUCGCCUAUGGAAUUUGGUCAAUGAGUGGGCACAUUUAGAAGAACUUGACACAUCUACUUGGCACCUCGAGGACUCUUUAAAGGAAUGGUGGGUAAAUAGAUCAAGCAAGAGCACCCCCAACCGGAAAGCCAUGGCCUCCCUCACCAUGCUAUUGGGAUGGACCAUUUGGAACGAACGGAACGCCCGGGUCUUUCGACAAAAGAGUAUGCCUCCAACGAUUUUGCUCAACAACAUCAAGAGUGAAGCUAUCCUUUGGGUAACCGCCGGGGCGAAGAAAUUGGGCAACAUCAUACCGGGAGAGUAA
rnacentral:rRNA from 1 species